GGUUGGAGAAGGCUAUUAGUUCCAUGAUUUUCUUUUUAAUCUCUUCAGCUCGUUGGUGACUCUUGUUUAAUUUUUUACAUUUAUUUAACAACUCCCUAACAGUCGUCUGUUUGCUCACUAGAAAACGUUAGAACUGACGGCAGCUAUACAGCUGUGGUCAAAAGUUUAUUUCAGGAGUGUCAAACUCAAACAUACAAGGGCGAAAAAUCCAAAACACACCUGAGGUCACGGGCCGAACAAGAUAAAUAUUUAUUGGAGUGUCACACAUCUAUAUUCAGCUUGCUGAUAACAGCAGACUCAUCUGUAAACAACAUACUCCACUAAGGAUGACGCUGUAACUAUAUCUCCACAACUGCUUUCAUCAACCUUCCUCUGCACAACACAGCACUCCUCCACAUUAUUAAAGGACUGCAACACUAACCCUGAAUUACAUGUGAAGUCAUCCACUCUGACCCUGUGAUAAGCAGCAGACAAAAACAAAGCAUGUCAGAAGGAAGGAGGCUGCAUGCCUGCAGGCGUGGCUGCAACAGAAAGGAUGCAAUUCAGGAACCUACGGUCAAA